rnacentral:rRNA from 1 species
CCUACGGGAGGCAGCAGUAGGGAAUAUUGCUCAAUGGGGGAAACCCUGAAGCAGCAACGCCGCGUGGAUGAUGAAGGUUUUAGGAUUGUAAACUCCUUUUGUGAGAGAAGAUAAUGACGGUAUCUCACGAAUAAGCACCGGCUAACUCCGUGCCAGCAGCCGCGGUAAUAAGGAGGGUGCAAGCGUUACUCGGAAUCACUGGGCGUAAAGAGUGCGCAGGCGGGCUUUUAAGUCAGAUGUGAAAUCCUGUAGCUUAACUACAGAACUACAUUUGAAACUAUUGGUCUAGAGUGUAGGAGGGGUAGGUGGAAUUCUUGGUGUAGGGGUAGAAUCCGUAGAUAUCAAGAGGAAUACUCAUGGCGAAGGCGACCUACUGGAACAUUACUGACGCUCAUGCACGAAAGCGUGGGGAGCAAACAGGAUUAGAUACCCCUGUAGUC